UUAUUUUGAAAAAUUUUGUUUCGCUUCUUUCAUCUUCUAGUCUUAUGUUUUUGUUGAUGAUAAGGAGAUAGAUAAAUUGGAAAUGAAUUACAACCCUAUGACCCCCCCCCUUUGUGUUCCAUGCCACUCUAGAAAUUUUAAUUUGUUUUUUU